AAAUUGAAGAGUUUGAUCAUGGCUCAGAUUGAACGCUGGCGGCAGGCCUAACACAUGCAAGUCGAGCGGUAGCACAGAGAGCUUGCUCUCGGGUGACGAGCGGCGGACGGGUGAGUAAUGUCUGGGAAACUGCCUGAUGGAGGGGGAUAACUACUGGAAACGGUAGCUAAUACCGCAUAACGUCGCAAGACCAAAGUGGGGGACCUUCGGGCCUCAUGCCAUCAGAUGUGCCCAGAUGGGAUUAGCUAGUAGGUGGGGUAAUGGCUCACCUAGGCGACGAUCCCUAGCUGGUCUGAGAGGAUGACCAGCCACACUGGAACUGAGACACGGUCCAGACUCCUACGGGAGGCAGCAGUGGGGAAUAUUGCACAAUGGGCGCAAGCCUGAUGCAGCCAUGCCGCGUGUAUGAAGAAGGCCUUCGGGUUGUAAAGUACUUUCAGCGAGGAGGAAGGCGUUAAGGUUAAUAACCUUAGCGAUUGACGUUACUCGCAGAAGAAGCACCGGCUAACUCCGUGCCAGCAGCCGCGGUAAUACGGAGGGUGCAAGCGUUAAUCGGAAUUACUGGGCGUAAAGCGCGCAGGCGGUCUGUUAAGUCAGAUGUGAAAUCCCCGGGCUCAACCUGGGAACUGCAUUUGAAACUGGCAGGCUUGAGUCUUGUAGAGGGGGGUAGAAUUCCAGGUGUAGCGGUGAAAUGCGUAGAGAUCUGGAGGAAUACCGGUGGCGAAGGCGGCCCCCUGGACAAAGACUGACGCUCAGGUGCGAAAGCGUGGGGAGCAAACAGGAUUAGAUACCCUGGUAGUCCACGCUGUAAACGAUGUCGACUUGGAGGUUGUUCCCUUGAGGAGUGGCUUCCGGAGCUAACGCGUUAAGUCGACCGCCUGGGGAGUACGGCCGCAAGGUUAAAACUCAAAUGAAUUGACGGCGCCCGCACAAGCGGUGGAGCAUGUGGUUUAAUUCGAUGCAACGCGAAGAACCUUACCUACUCUUGACAUCCAGAGAACUUAGCAGAGAUGCUUUGGUGCCUUCGGGAACUCUGAGACAGGUGCUGCAUGGCUGUCGUCAGCUCGUGUUGUGAAAUGUUGGGUUAAGUCCCGCAACGAGCGCAACCCUUAUCCUUUGUUGCCAGCGAUUCGGUCGGGAACUCAAAGGAGACUGCCAGUGAUAAACUGGAGGAAGGUGGGGAUGACGUCAAGUCAUCAUGGCCCUUACGAGUAGGGCUACACACGUGCUACAAUGGCAUAUACAAAGAGAAGCGACCUCGCGAGAGCAAGCGGACCUCAUAAAGUAUGUCGUAGUCCGGAUUGGAGUCUGCAACUCGACUCCAUGAAGUCGGAAUCGCUAGUAAUCGUAGAUCAGAAUGCUACGGUGAAUACGUUCCCGGGCCUUGUACACACCGCCCGUCACACCAUGGGAGUGGGUUGCAAAAGAAGUAGGUAGCUUAACCUUCGGGAGGGCGCUUACCACUUUGUGAUUCAUGACUGGGGUGAAGUCGUAACAAGGUAACCGUAGGGGAACCUGCGGUUGGAUCACCUCCUUA
rnacentral:rRNA from 1 species